GACGAACGCUGGCGGCGUGCUUAACACAUGCAAGUCGAACGGAGUGGCGAACGGGUGAGUAACACGUGGGUGAUCUGCCUUGCACUCUGGGAUAAGCUUGGGAAACUGGGUCUAAUACCGGAUAGUGCAAGAUUAGCUCGCGGGCUAUCAGCUUGUUGGUGAGGUAAUGGCCUACCAAGGCGUCGACGGGUAGCCGGCCUGAGAGGGUGUACGGCCACAUUGGGACUGGGGUACGGCCCAGACUCCUACGGGGGGCAGCGGUGGGGAAUAUUGCACGAUGGGCGGAAGCCUGAUGCAGCGACGCCGGGUGGGGGAUGAAGGCCUUCGAGUUGUAAACUCCUUUCGACGGGAACGCGGUACCUGAAUAGAAAGCACCGGCUAACUACGUGCCAGCAGCCGCGGUAAUAC
rnacentral:rRNA from 1 species